GGGCUCUGCUGUAGCUGUUUGCUGAGGGACCAGGACUGAGCAAGGGUUUGUCCCUUUUUCAGAUGUCACUGCAAGCAGUACAUCUCUGCUGAGGAGCUCUGUGACCAGCUGUGCCUGCUGAGAGCCCCACGCCUCUCCCUGGGCUUUGGCACCCACAGGGAGCUGCUGCUGAGGAUGAACCAGGGGCAAGCGAGGGAGGUGUCAAACGUUCUGGGCCCAGAUGAGCACGUGCAGAGCAGCCAGAGGGUGCAUCUGGUUCUGUUCAGUCCCCAGGGAGUGCUGGGUUUCGUUGUCUCCAGCACAGAAGUUCUGGAUGCGUUUCUCACGGGAGAUUUUUCCUCAGAUCAGCUGCUGCAGAAAGGGCACAGAGUGCAGAGGAGUUCCCCCAAAGACAGCCAGGCCUUGCCCCUCAUCCCUAACCCAGUGGUGUGUCUGGAAGCAGGGGACACAAUCCUUUUCCAGCUCAGCAUCAAUUCCCAGGGUGAGUGUGGCUGGGGCUGAGCACAUUUGUGUGUCCAGACCCGUUCAGAGCAGUGGCUCCACGCUGGGCAUCCUGCAUGGAUCCAUCCCUUCACCUCCUGGACCCCAGAACUGCAGUCUGGGUUCUGCCAGGGGCUUACCUGCUGCUUUUUGGCUGGAUUGCUGUAGAGUGAGACAAAAUUGGUCCUGUGUUAGCAUGAAUCUCUGUGGGGCAGUAACUAGACUCAAUUAAAUGAAACUGCAUGGCCCUAUAAAAGCAGUUCCACAGCUCUUUGCACAGUUCUGUCCCAGCUGAGGUGGCCCAGAGCUGCUGACCCUGUGCUGUCCCAUCCCCAGACCGUGCCUCCAGCCACUACCCCGUUUACCAGAAGCAACAUCUCUACAACAACAACCCAGGCUGGGAUUUCGGACCCUUCCGGAGGCUGGACCACCUGAUCCAGGAGACUCAGCUCAACAUCUCCUGGUAACACCUGCUGUGGGUAACAGUGUGGUGGGCAGGACCUGAGAGUGAGUUUUUGACAGAAUCAGCAGGUCUUUGGUGGUGAAAAUUCCAAAUUUUGCUGUGUUCAGGUCCCUGUGUUUAACCAUCCUCACAGAGGGAGGCUGGAGGAAGCUUGGGUCAGCUGGUACCUUCCUCACUUCUCUCUUCCAGGUUUGCCCAUGUUUUCCUGGAGCCUGGGACAUUUGUCUUCAGGGACAGCUCCGUUCAGGAACGCUUCCUGAUUGUGACAGUGAACAAAGCCAACGUGAGCUGUGACCCUGGGGACGUGUCCUUCCAGCCCUCCUCCCUGUUCCAGCUGGCCAGACACGGCAUUUUGAAGCAGCAGCAUCUGCACUUGGCUCCCAACUGGGCUGCAAUCACAGGUACAGCCAGAACUCUGAGAUACCCACCUUCACCCUCCAUUCUUACCCAUGACCUUUCCUGUCCUCUUUCAGUGUGUUUAAACAAGCAUUUUCUUUGGAAAUGCCACCAGAGCUCUGCUCAACCAGCUUUAAUCCCUUACUCCUGUGGAGCUUCCCAAAGUCCACUGCUGUCUGGCCAAGAACCUGUCUGUGCAGGAGCUGAGGUGCUGAGAGAGGGAAGGAGCAGUCGUGCUUCUCCCCACACCCUGUUUGGAGAGCCCAGGGAGCUGAGGGCUUUGUUUUCCUUGGCUGGAAAGCAGAAAAUGACAGAGUAUUUCCAUGAUAAACCGAGCUGAAAUGAAAUCCAGCAUUUCAAAGUUGACUAAGAG
ensembl:lncRNA